rnacentral:misc_RNA from 1 species
GAUGAAGAACGUAGCGAAAUGCGAUAAGUAGUGUGAAUUGCAGAAUUCAGUGAAUCAUCGAAUCUUUGAACGCACAUUGCGCCCCUUGGUAUUCCAUGGGGCAUGCCUGUUCGAGCGUCAUUUCAACCCUCGACCUCCCUUUGGGGAAGUCGGCGUUGGGGACCGGCAGCACACCGCCGGCCCUGAAAUGGAGUGGCGGCCCGUCCGCGGCGACCUCUGCGUAGUAAUCCAACUCGCACCGGAACCCCGACGCGGCCACGCCGUAAAACACCCAACUUCUGAACGUUGACCUCGAAUCAGGUAGGACUACCCGCUGAACUUAAGCAUAUCAAUAAGCGGAGGA